CGCGGGGCAACCUGGCGGCGUAGCGGCGAACGGGUGAGUAAUGCAUCGGAACGUACCCAUUUGUGGGGGAUAACUAUCCGAAAGGAUAGCUAAUACCGCAUAAGUCCUGAGGGAGAAAGCAGGGGAUCGCAAGACCUUGCGCGAAUGGAGCGGCCGAUGCCGGAUUAGCUAGUUGGUAGGGUAAAGGCCUACCAAGGCGACGAUCCGUAGCGGGUCUGAGAGGAUGAUCCGCCACACUGGAACUGAGACACGGUCCAGACUCCUACGGGAGGCAGCAGUGGGGAAUUUUGGACAAUGGGCGCAAGCCUGAUCCAGCCAUUCCGCGUGAGUGAAGAAGGCCUUCGGGUUGUAAAGCUCUUUCGGCAGGAACGAAACGGUGGGGGCUAAUACCUCCUGCUAAUGACGGUACCUGAAGAAGAAGCACCGGCUAACUACGUGCCAGCAGCCGCGGUAAUACGUAGGGUGCGAGCGUUAAUCGGAAUACUGGGCGUAAAGCGUGCGCAGGCGGUUAUGUAAGACAGAUGUG
rnacentral:rRNA from 1 species